rnacentral:rRNA from 1 species
UCAAAUUUAAAAUCUGGCGGUCUUUNGNCNGUCCGAGUUGUAGUCUGGAGAAGUGCUUUCCGCGCUGGACCGUGUACAAGUCUCUUGGAACAGAGCGUCAUAGAGGGUGAGAAUCCCGUCUUUGACACGGACUACCAGUGCUUUGUGAUGCGCUCUCAAAGAGUCGAGUUGUUUGGGAAUGCAGCUCAAAAUGGGUGGUAAAUUCCAUCUAAAGCUAAAUAUUGGCGAGAGACCGAUAGCGAACAAGUACCGUGAGGGAAAGAUGAAAAGCACUUUGGAAAGAGAGUUAAACAGUACGUGAAAUUGCUGAAAGGGAAACGCUUGAAGUCAGUCGCGUCGUGCAGGACUCAGCCUUGCUUUUGCUUGGUGCACUUUCUGUACGACGGGCCAGCAUCAAUUUUGACCGUCGGAAAAGGGCUGAGGGAAUGUGGCACCUUCGGGUGUGUUAUAGCCUUCAGUCGCAUACGGCGGUUGGGAUUGAGGAUCGCAGCGCGCCGCAAGGCAGGGGUUCGCCCACUUUCGCGCUUAGGAUGCUGGCAUAAUGGCUUUAAACGACCCGUCUUGAAACACGGACCAAGGAGUCUAACUUACCUGCGAGUGUUUGGGUGGAAAACCCGAGCGCGUAAUGAAAGUGAAAGUUGGGACCUCUGUCGUGGAGGGCACCGACGCCCGGACCUGACGUUCUCUGACGGAUCCGCGGUAGAGCAUGUAGGUUGGGACCCGAAAGAUGGUGAACUAUGCCUGAAUAGGGUGAAGCCAGAGGAAACUCUGGNGGNAGNNUCGUAGCGAUUCUGACGUGCAAAUCGAUCGUCAAAUUUGGGUAUAGGGGCGAAAG